rnacentral:rRNA from 1 species
GAUGAACGCUGGCGGCGUGCCUAAUACAUGCAAGUCGAGCGAACAGACGAGGAGCUUGCUCCUCUGACGUUAGCGGCGGACGGGUGAGUAACACGUGGAUAACCUACCUAUCAGACUGGGAUAACUUCGGGAAACCGGAGCUAAUACCGGAUAAUAUAUUGAUCCGCAUGGUUCAAUAGUGAAAGACGGUUUUGCUGUCACUUAUAGAUGGAUCCGCGCCGCAUUAGCUAGUUGGUAAGGUAACGGCUUACCAAGGCAACGAUGCGUAGCCGACCGGCGAGGGUGAUCGGCCACACUGGAACUGAGACACGGUCCAGACUCCUACGGGAGGCAGCAGUAGGGAAUCUUCCGCAAUGGGCGAAAGCCUGACGGAGCAACGCCGCGUGAGUGAUGAAGGUCUUCGGAUCGUAAAACUCUGUUAUUAGGGAAGAACAGAUGUGUAAGUAACUAUGCACGUCUUGACGGUACCUAAUCAGAAAGCCACGGCUAACUACGUG